AAUGAACGCUGGCGGCGUGUUUAAGACAUGCAAGUCGAACGGAGUAACAUGAGUAGCGAUACAAGUGUUGCUCAGUGGCGCACGGGUGCGUAACACGUGAGUUACAUGCCCUGCAGAGAGGGAUAGCCCAGGGAAACUUGGAUUAAUACCUCAUGGUCUCGCAAGAGUAAAGAUGGCCGUAAGGCUGUCACUGCAGGAUUGGCUCGCGGCCUAUCAGCUAGUUGGUGAGGUAACGGCUCCCCAAGGCUACGACGGGUACCUGGUCUGAGAGGACGAUCAGGCACACUGGAACUGAGACACGGUCCAGACACCUACGGGUGGCAGCAGUCGAGAAUCAUUCACAAUGGGGGCAACCCUGAUGGUGCAACGCCGCGUGGAGGAAGAAGGUCUUCGGAUUGUAAACUCCUGUCAUCUAGGAGCAAGGCAUGGUGGUGAAUAGCCAACAUGAUUGAUAGUACUAGAAGAGGAAGGGACGGCUAACUUCGUGCCAGCCGCCGCCGUAACAC
rnacentral:rRNA from 1 species